UUAAGUUUCUAAAAUAUAUUUAUAAAGAUUGUCAAAAUUUCUAACAUAUUUGUACAAGAAAGUAUUUUUUCUCAAAGAAACUCAUAAGUUGGCUAUGGACUAAUUUCAAAACAUUUGUCCUGAAUAAAUACAUUUUUAUCAUCCAGGUAUUUAAGUGUUACUUUUAAUUCUAUUUGAAAUUUGUAAGUAAAUAUUUUUUUUAAUAUAGGUGAGAUUGGAACAAAUAGGAAAAGCCUAUAAAUGUGUAUUAGAAAUAAUAGAUGUUGAAAAUAAAGAUGGAGGAAAAUAUAAAAUUACUGCAAAAAAUGACCUUGGUGAAGCUAAUUCAACAAUCAAUCUUAAUUUGGAUACGGAAGAAGAUGAAGAAGAGGAAGAUGAAGGAAAACCUGCAUUCUUGGGAAAACCAGUUAUAAAGCAGUCUAAUGAUUUCAA